rnacentral:misc_RNA from 1 species
UUUCCGUAGGUGAACCUGCGGAAGGAUCAUUACAGAGUUCAUGCCCUCACGGGUAGAUCUCCCACCCUUGAAUAUUUAUACCUUAGUUGCUUUGGCAGGCCGUGGAAACACCAUGGGCUCCGGCUUAUGCGUGCCUGCCAAAGGAAACAAACUCUGUUUUUAGUGAUGUCUGAGUACUAUAUAAUAGUUAAAACUUUCAACAACGGAUCUCUUGGUUCUG